rnacentral:misc_RNA from 1 species
CUCCGAUGUCACACGUCGCACAGCAGCAAGAGCUCAUGCGAGUUUACCGAGAAGAGCUGCAACUGCAGCAGCGACUCAAGGAGCAGUGUCGCCUGCUGCAGUGCCUCGCGGAAGCUGCAGCUGGUAUGUUCUCGUGGUGGCGUGAAGGCGCAGCCGCCGCCGCCGCGGCGACGACAGACAACGCUCUCCUGGUUGCCGGUCGCUCGCCCAUCUCAGAAGGGUCGGCGGGCUCUGAUGCCAACACAGGCGAGUUUGCCCUGCCAUCGGCGUCAUCACUGUUGAAGCUGCACUCGGGCAUGGUCUUCUACUCACUGGGGGAGCUGCUGCAGCUGUGGGCAGCCACCACAGCCCCGUCAGACUUUGGCAGCAACAGCGAGAAGGGAACUGAUGAGAGCGCCAGUGCAGCCGAGACGAUGAGACAGGGCGGGCGCGACGCCUCCCGGCGUGAGGUGCACGCCUCCUCGUACGACCCCCGUAGGGUUAACGAGUGCUCUGAUCAGCACCCUCCACCGUGGUCCUUCCCAACGAGCAUUGCGGUGCCAGUGCCGCGGAUCAUCGGCGAGGCGGGACACGUUCCGCACACACCUCCAACUUCUCCACCUCCAUUGCAGCUCCCUACCCCUGCGCAACUCAUACGGUACCGCGUGCUGGACGCGGCGUGCCCACUGCCGGUCACCCACCGGCUCCUCCUCGGCUCCGUUGACGCGGACAACUUCAGUCUCCUCCUGCUCUGGCUCAUGAGGCUGACCAAGGAGUGUGCGGAGGCAAUGUUGCUAUGGAGACCCGACAGACACAUGCGCGAAGCGCACAUGCGGUCGGCACGAAUCGAAGGACACCGUUCCAGCAGCGCCGGCGCCGACGACAACCGACGGCCGCUCAGAGCGGUGCCAACGCCGGCAGUGAUCGAAAAUGAAGCGGCGGAGACGAUCGGGACGAAGAGGUCACGGCCGAAGGAUGGGGGCAGUCUACGGUGUAGCGAUGGCAGCGUCGUCAGUGAGUCGUGGAACGCACUCUGCGCCUCUCUAAUACGUGUCCUCUCGUACCUGGUAGCCGCGGCAGCAGAAGCAUCACCGCGGACAGGCUCCGAGCGCCGGCAAUCCACGGAGCCGCUGCUGCCUUCGCUUGUGUCGUGUAUGGCAUCUGCAGCCACGUCAGUCGCCCUGCGUGCCGACCUCCGUCUCUUCCUCGCGGAGGUGGCAGAAGUGCGCGAUACUGUUCUCGAAGUUAAGCAGUACUGUCGCGUCGUAGACGCGCACCGCGACGACACGGAACGCGCCUUGAAGAGGCCUCGAGGCGAGUCUGCUGCAGCAGCAGUACGGCCGCCACCCGCGUCUGUCGCCGGGAAGGAACAGCCGAUGGCGAUGAGCAACAUGGCGCUACUAGCCCACCUCGCCGCAAUCGUGGAUGUGCAAGUGCGAAAAUAUCUCUGAUACACCCGUGUGGGUGCAUGUGUGUGUGGAGGGGGGUGGGGAAUAUCUUCACUGCGAUUGUGGUCGUCAUAGUCGCUAGAACGCAUCUUCUUCCCGGCCCUCCCCCACCUCCGCUUCGCUUUAUACUUCUCUCUCCUGCUGCGGCGGCUGGGUUUUCUGCUUUCCUCUGCUGCCUUUUUCUUUCGCGACUACUCCUAGCGACUGAUGUGGGCUUCGCUUCUCACGCUCUCCCCUCCGCAUCCGCGUCGAUGUUUCAGUUUCAUGUCGCCUCACGCACACCCCACUCCUUCCCCGCUGCAUCAUCCGUCGCUUGUUCUCCCACUCUGUCGGUAUGUGUGUGUGUGUGUGUGUGUGUGUGUGUGUGUGUGUGUGUGUGUGUGUGUGUGUGUGUGUGUUUGUGUGUUUGUGUGUACGUGUGUGAGAUGCAACGACAUCGACUCUGCUUCGCUCGUAACCUUCGCGCACCUGUCAAAACCGCCCAGCCCGCCUGUUAUCGGCAAUAUGCCCUUCUAUUCUCUCUUCACAAUGUGCCCCCGUCUCUGAUGACGGGAGAGGAGGGUGCCGCAGUGCGCGGUAUCUCUCGCAUACACACGCACACGGGCCAGCACCCCCCCCGCCCCUCUAUUCCCGGGCAAACGCCGCACCACUGCUGACGAGUGGCAGGGCCCAGGCACCCACGGCGUGGCGAGGUCAGAGGGAUGUAUUGCUGCUGAUGUCGGCGGCCAGACCCUGGAGGGCGCUGCGUCGGAGCGACCUGCGACGACGCACACGUUGGCGCCGUCCACAUCAUGGGCGGGGUGUCGGCGUGACUCAGGUGUAUGCCACCCCCAGCCCUGACUGCCCUGCUGGUGGGGUGGGGGGAAGCCCGAGGAGCAUGGAGUGGGCAGAGCUUGCGGCAGGGGCGCUGCUGCGGUGACGGAUUCGGCGCACUGCUGUACCGCGCGUGUCUGGCGGCUGCCUCGCACUGGAUGGCGGGGGCGUGUGACGGAUGCUGCACGGCCGCGGACUGGACGCGUUGGAAAGUACCUCACAUAUGGAAUGGGCUCUUGGAAACGAUGGGAGCGCAGCGGAGAGGUGCUGCGAGUCCAGCGGCCCCGGUGCAUGGGAAGAAGCACCUGGAAGAAGGUCGUUGCCGGGUCCGUCACCCCCUCUACACUCGUCGUGCAGGACUUCCCACGGGGUUGCAUAUCCAAACCCACCUCCGCGUUGUAGCGGUGCUCAUCUGGCCCCACGAUGAGGUGCCCUCCGCUGAGACAUCCUUUCCUCUCUCCCACCACGGUAAACGCCCAUCAUGGGGGAGCUCCUUCGCCUCUCUCUCUGCCUGCAGACGUGCCCUGUCUUAAGUCGUGAUGGGGUGCGCUUUUUCCCGGCUGCGACUCCGCCGCUGGAGCACGGGCCACCUGCGCAGCAGCCACAGUGAAAGAGCUGAGAGAGGGUGGCGGCCUCCCUAGCAAUGAGGGAAGGGGAGAGGGGCAAGCGAAGCAAACUCUAUGCACCCGUGCCCGCCUCAGUCGCUCUUCAGCGUCCUCCUCUCGUCCUCUUCUCUACACAUCUCGCCUUCACCCCUCCCGUCCUCUCUCCCGCUCCGACUCUCUGUGCCGUGCCUGUGUGCUCCUCUGCACGUCAG